GAAAAGUUACCUCUAGGUUAUAUACUUGACUGAGUCUCACUCUGUCAUGCAGGUUGAAGCACAGUGAUGUGAUCUCAGCUCACCCGCAACCUCUGUCUCCUGGGUUCAAGACAUUCUUCUGCCUCAGCCUCCCGAGUAGCUGAGACUACAGGCAUACACCACCAUGCCAGGCUAAUUUUUUUUGUAUUUUUAGUAGAGACAAGGUUUCACCAUGUUGGCCAGGCUGGUCUCAAACUCCUGACCUCAGGUGAUCCUCCCAUAGCCAAAUGAAUUAUACAACCCCUUAAAAAAUUCCUUAUGAUGACUUACAUAGACCAUUCGCAACAUGCUUAGACUUUCUGUUUUGUCCUAAAUAUCCCUCUCUCUUUAACAAUCUAGUCAUUUUAUUUUAGGACAGAAAUUUACCGCAUGAGAUCCUUUCUUAUAUAAAAUUACUUUCCUUUUUAUCUUCUUCACCAACAUACUUCUUUAUAGAUUUAACUUUCUUUACAUCUUUUAUUUCCUGGUUCCUUUUAACUUGUGUAUACCUUGUAUAACCUGUAUAACCUUGUAUAACAUGUAUAAACAAGGUAAAAGGUAUAAAACCUUAAAUAAACUUUGAAUUAGACAAAGAUAUUUAAUAAGAACAUUAAAAAAUAUUUUCC
rnacentral:lncRNA from 1 species